UCACAAAUUCGUAUCUAGGGG
rnacentral:miRNA from 1 species